rnacentral:tRNA from 1 species
GGAAAGGUGGCAGAGUGGUUAAUGCAGUUGUCUUGAAAACAGCCGACCUUAGGGUUCGUGGGUUCGAAUCCCACCCUUUCCU